rnacentral:rRNA from 1 species
AGGGGGAAAAUUAAUAAUUAUAUAUAUUUAAUAAAAUAAAUUUUAAAAAGAAAAUAUUUAGGGGGGUUUAAGUAUUUUUAAUAGAAAAAAUUUAUAAAUUUAAAGUGGAUUAGUAUUGUGAAAGAAAUUUGAAAUAAUAAUGAAAAUAUAAUUUAAAAUAAAGUAAUUUUAAUUUAAUGUAUCUUGUGUAUCAGAGUUUAUUAAUAAUAAUUUUUAAGAAAAAAUUUCUCGAAUUAAAAAGAGUUAAUUAAUUAAUAAAAUUAUUGUUGCAUAAAUAUUUUUAAUAAUUAAUUUGAAAUGAAAAGUUAUUCGUUUUUUAAUAUAUCUAGUUUUUUUAGAAAAAAAUUUAAUUUUAAAUUAUUUUAUAAAAUAAUUAAUUAUUUAAUUAUUUUAAAAUUUAAUUAAAUAUUUUAAGGGAUAAGCUUUAAAUUAAAAUUUUAUAAAUAAAAUAAAUAAAAUAAAAAUUUUAUAAUUUAUAUUGUUAAUAAAUUUUAGUUUAUUAUAAAUAAUUUUAUUAAAAGAAAAAUUUAAUAUAUUUUAAUUUUUUAUAAAAAUAUAAUUUUUAAUAUAAAAAAUUUAGAAAUAAUGAUAAAAUUAGUAUAUUAAUUUAAUAUAAAAUAUUAAUUUAAAUAUAAUUAAAUAAAAAGAAUUCGGCAAAAAUUCAUAUUCACCUGUUUAUCAAAAACAUGUCUUUUUGAAAAUAAUUUAAAGUCUAAUCUGCCCACUGAUAUUAAAUUAAAGGGCUGCAGUAUAUUGACUGUACAAAGGUAGCAUAAUCAAUAGUCUCUUAAUUAGUGACUUGUAUGAAUGAUUGAAUGAAAUAUUAACUGUUUCUUAUUUAUAAAUUGAAUUUAAUUUUUUAGUUAAAAAGCUAAAAUAAAUUUAAAAGACGAGAAGACCCUAUAGAGUUUUAUAAAUUUAUAAAUUUUAUUUAAAUAUUAGUUUAAUAAUAAAAUUAAUAAAUUUAUUUUGUUGGGGUGAUAAAAAAAUUAAUUAAACUUUUUUAAAAUAUAAACAUAAAUAAGUGAGUAAAAUGAUCCAUAAUUUUUGAUUAAAAGAAAAAAUUACCUUAGGGAUAACAGCGUAAUUUUUUCUUUUAGUUCAAAUAAGAGAAAAAGUUUGCGACCUCGAUGUUGGAUUAAGAUAAAAUUUAAAUGCAAAAGUUUAAAGUUUUGAUCUGUUCGAUCAUUAAAAUCUUACAUGAUCUGAGUUCAAACCGGUGUAAGCCAGGUUGGUUUCUAUCUUUAAAAAAUUAAAAUAUUUUAGUACGAAAGGAUUAAAUAUUUGAAAUAAUUUUAAAAAAAAAAGAAUAUUAUUAAUUUAUUAUUAUAAAAAUUAUAGGGAAUUUUUUUUU